UCGGAUAAGAGGCUGAAACUCGCCUCUUUGAAGUCGGAAUCGCUAGUAAUCGCGGAUCAGAAUGCCGCGGUGAAUACGUUCCCGGGUCUUGUACACACCGCCCGUCACACCAUGGGAGCCGGUAAUGCCCGAAGUCAGUAGCCUAACCGCAAGGAGGGCGCUGCCGAAGGUAGGAUUGGCGACUGGGGUGAAGUCGUAACAAGGUAAC
rnacentral:rRNA from 1 species